rnacentral:lncRNA from 1 species
CAGAUCACAUCUGCCUUGUGUCCUUGAGACCAAAGAGACUACCUCUGGGUGCCAGGAAGGUUUGGGACUUCUGCCAUUGUUCACUUGGGCCAGCAAGGCCUUGGGUCUGGAGAAUUUGAGCGGCAUAAGUACUCAGAAAACAGAAAUGACAAAUCAAGUAAUUUGUCAAACCCUUCCCCCAAACAGCAUAAACUACAGUAGAUUCUUGCAUAACAAAGUAUCAGUUCCCAGUGGAGGCAGGCAUCCUUGCCCUCUUUGAGUUUCAAUUCCUGGUUUUGGAUCUGGGGGUGCUCACAGAUUGGCAAAGUACACAGAUGUGCGUGGCAACUGGGGACCAUUUUGCAAUAUUAAGUAACUCAUGUUACUUGAAAAAUUUUUUUAUGGAGGUCAUUGUAUAACAUGCAUGAAUUGUGAUGCUUUUUUCUUUAUUGGCAACUAGAUGGACGUUGAACAGUAGAAUUGUGAAGGGUGUUAUUUUCCUAAAAUGAUUUCAUUUAAAUAAUUUUUAUUUAAAUAUUUGACAUUGUCCAUUUCAGGCUGCUAUAACAGAAUACCUUAGAAUGUUUAAUUUAUAAACAAUAGAAGUUUAUUGCUCAUAGUUCUGGAGACUGGGAAGUCCAAGGCCAAGAUACCAGCUGACUCAGUGUCUGCUGAGGGCCUGUUUCUUCACAGAUGGUGCCUUCUAUGGGUUCUAACAUGGUAGAAGGGCAAAAGGGGCUCAGAAGCUUCCCACACCUCUUUUAUAAGGUCACAAAUCUCACUGUGAGAGCCCUCAUGACCUAAUCACCUCCCAAAGUCCCUACCUUCUAAUAAUAUGAGCUUGGUGAUUAGAUUUCAACACAUAAAUUUUGGUAGGAUACAAACAUUCAGAUCAUAGCAGAUAUUCAUGUAUUAUAAUUUGUAUUUUGCCUCUUAAUUUUAAAGAUAAAUUUUGAAUUUUUAGAAGAAAAAUACGCAUUUGAAAGCACUAAAGUUUUAGAUUGGGGGACUUUUAAAUAUUUAUUUUAAUUUAAUUUAUUUGAUGAAAAUACAUUCAAAUUGUGUAUGCUUUAAAUACCAAUAUGUCUUAUUUUUAUAAUCCUUUGAGCAUUACGGUCAAUGAAAUAAAAUCUAGGCUUCUCAUUUUUAUUGGUAGUCAUGCUUUUUUAGUUUUGGCAAUAACAAAAACAAUAUGCUUAUCUUUAAUUAUUUAAAAAAAUUAGAGAACAGAUGAGAAAGUGACUGAAGAGAAUUAUUAUUAUGGUCCUAAUAGGGACUGUAGUUGGAAUUGGGUUUAUUCCAUUCUACUCCAGUGUAUUAGCCUGUUCUCAUGCUGCUAAUAAAGAUAUACCUGAGAUUGGGUAAUUUAUAAAGGAAAAAGGUUUAAUUGGCUCACAGUCACACUCUCCCCAGAGGCAAGCCAUACCAGAAACUAAAAUUCCUCUUCCACAAGGUGACAGUGUGUUGCAGACGUGUUUCCUACUGCUACAGAAAACUCAGCCUCUGCCUGGUCACAUGUGGCAUGGCAGCUUUGAGAACAGAAGCCUGUGAUGAAGCAACUACAGAAAAGAGCCAGGCUUUUGCAUCCUUAAUUUCUGUGCUCCCUUGCGCCAUGGGGAAUGAUCAGCUUUUCUGUGUCUUACAGGCUACUGAAAAGACCACCAUCUUCCCAGGUCUUUAUCUGGUUGUUCAGGACCCAUCUAGGGAGCGUCAGGGGUUGCACAAAAUGGAGAGGGUUUGGAGCAGCGGGGUGCAUCGUAGGAACUUGAGAUGAGGCUUUUGAAGGGCUGGAAGAAGUUGCGGCCUUAAUGCUAGGAAGGGUUUGGGGUUGGUGGAUUUUGUGGGGCCCCAUUGAGAUAUUAUGUUAAUACCUGGGAGAAAGGGGGAGCCCCUGGUUGUAGCAAAGGUUUUCAAGGCAGGGUCUGUGGUUAGCAGGGAGGUGCCCCAUUCAUGCACACUAUGGCAGGUGGUGGGGAGAAGUGCCCUCCUAGGAUAUCCAACCAACACUGGCAGUGGCAGCGACAUGACAAAAGGCGCACCCAAGACAACCACCAUGGGUUAAGGAACAGGCUGCAUCUUUAUUUUUCAGGACCAGCUAAGCUUCCUGUCCUUGUGCCAGUCACUGAAGGGAGCAGAGGGAGCCUGGGCUUAGGGGGCAGGGGAGGAAUAAGCACUCAGAGCUGGGCAUGAGUCAGCUGGAAAGAAACAAAGAAGCGUGUCACUGCCCACACCUUUAAUAAGUGCCUUGGAAUGCUCCCGGCUCUCACAGUGGCGCAUGUUUUACUCUGCAUCCCAUCUGUGGCUUCUAUUGUCUUCUCACACUGUGGGACACUUAAGGAGAUGUGACAGAUGGCUGUGUGUGUGCUCCGUCCC